rnacentral:ncRNA from 1 species
ACGUUUUGAAUAUGCCCGGGCAGGACGAAACCAUAGGAAACUCUGGUGGAGGUCCGUAGCGGAUCUGGCGUGCAAAUCGAUCGUUAGACCCUGGCCUAGGGUCGGAAGACUAAUCGAAUCAUCUAGUAG